UGACUGUUUAAUACUUACCAGCAUCCUCAGAUGCUCUACAAUAUAAGAAAUUAGCAUAGUGGUAAAAUGGAUGAAAACAGAUUUGUGGCAGUUACCAGCACAAAUGCAGCCAAAAUUUUUAAUCUCUAUCCAAGAAAAGGAAGAAUAGCUGUAGGAUCAGAUGCUGACAUUGUUAUUUGGGACCCAAAAGGCACAAGUUACAGAAUGUGGGAAAAAGGAGAGAAGGGGGCUGUUGAAGAGGAGGCUUCAUAGAAUAAUGAAUCUGGAAGAAUUCAAGGAGAAAGCGUGUUUGUUGUGGUUCACGUUAAAAGAGAGAGAUCGUUGCAGCAACUGUAUGCUGAGCCCUUAUCUGGGUCGAUCACAGCACCAGCUUUCUCUAUUCUUGGCCUGGUUGUUAUGAGAAAGUUGCUCAUCUGGGCUGGCUGUUCCCGACCAAAAUUUAUGCUGAUGACCUCAACUAGGACCUUUCUGAAGUGCAAUAAUAUUUUUAGCCUUUUCUAACUGUCCAUGAAUCAUCCAUAGCUUUCCACUGUCCUUAGACACUACCCCUACCAUUGUCACUGUCUGCCUCUUCUCACCUUGCAGCCCGAGUUCUACUGAAUCCAGC
rnacentral:lncRNA from 1 species